CGCCCCCUGGCGGUGAGGCAGAGGGACUGCAGUGUUCCCUGUCAGAUCCGGAAGAUCUGGAAGAAGAAGACCGUCGAUCCGAAGAACCACGCGGAGAACGAGCCACCAUGAGCGGAGCGGCGAGUUUUAAAAGCUGCGCUUCGGUUCUGGUAACGGGGGCGAACCGCGGGCUCGGGCUUCAGCUGGUGGACAGUCUGGUGAGAGGAGGUUUCUGCCCGGGAAAGAUCAUAGCGACAACCAGAAACUCCUCCGCCACCCAGAAACUUCAAGAACUGGCCGAGAAUCAUCCCAACAUCCACAUAGUAACUUUAGAUGUAGCGAGUCAGGACAGCAUCGAGCGGUGUGCCGAGGAGGUGGGCCGGCUGCUGGAGGAAGAAGGUCUGAACUGUCUGAUCAACAACGCUGGGAUCAAACUGGAGGCCGACUUCCACUCCGUCACUGCAGAGGCGAUGAUAGAAAGCUUCAACAUCAACGCCGUGGCUCCGCUCAUGAUCACAAAGGCUUUUCUGCCUCUGUUGAAGCGAGCUGCAUCCAGAGGAUCAGCAGGCGGGCCGGGGAUUAUGGGAAUCCAGAGGGCAGCAGUUAUUAACAUGGGCUCUCUGCUGGGCUCCGUAGAGCUCAACUGGGGCGACGAGGCCCAGAACUUGAGAUGGUACCCCUACAGGACCUCCAAGGCUUCUCUGAACAUGGUCAGCCGCUGCAUGGCGGGGGACCUGCGGGCUGAUGGGAUCCUCUGUGUGGCCGUGCACCCCGGCUGGGUCCGCACCGACAUGGGGGGGUCUGAGGCUCCUCUGAGUCCCGAGGAGAGCGUUUCCUCCAUCUUAUCUGUGAUUGGUCGGCUGAGUGAAGAGGAUCAUGGGUCGUUUCUGAGCUUUAAGGGAGAGCGGUUGCCGUGGUAACGUGUUUGUUUCAAGGCUCUCUUGGACUUCCUUGAAUUUUAAAAAACCAGUCGUAUUGUUGUUUAAACAAGUCAUCUUGUUGUUAAAACAAGUUCAAACAAGUCGUCUUGUUAAAACAAGUUCAAACAAGUCGUCUUGUUAAAACAAGUCGUCUUGUUAAAACAAGUUAAAACAAGUUGUCUUGUUAAAACAAGUCAUCUUGUUGUUUAAACAAGUUAAAACAAGUCAUCUUGUUGUUAAAACAAGUUAAAACAAGUCGUCUUGUUAAAACAAGUCAUCUUGUUGUUAAAACAAGUUCAAACAAGUCGUCUUGUUAAAACAAGUUAAAACAAGUCGUCUUGUUAAAACAAGUCAUCUUGUUGUUUAAACAAGUUAAAACAAGUCAUCUUGUUGUUAAAACAAGUCAUCUUGUUGUUAAAACAAGUUAAAACAAGUCGUCUUGUUAAAACAAGUUAAAACAAGUAGUCUUGUUAAAACAAGUCAUCUUGUUGUUUAAACAAGUUCAAACAAGUCGUCUUGUUGUUUAAACAAGUUAAAACAAGUCGUCUUGUUAAAACAAGUCAUCUUGUUGUUAAAACAAGUCGUCUUGUUAAAACAAGUCAUCUUGUUGUUAAAACAAGUUCAAACAAGUCAUCUUGUUGUUAAAACAAGUUCAAACAAGUCGUCUUGUUAAAACAAGUCAUCUUGUUGUUAAAACAAGUUCAAACAAGUCGUCUUGUUAAAACAAGUCGUCUUGUUAAAACAAGUCAUCUUGUUGUUUAAACAAGUUAAAACAAGUCAUCUUGUUGUUAAAACAAGUCGUCUUGUUAAAACAAGUCAUCUUGUUGUUAAAACAAGUUAAAACAAGUCAUCUUGUUAAAACAAGUCAUCUUGUUGUUUAAACAAGUUAAAACAAGUCAUCUUGUUGUUAAAACAAGUUAAAACAAGUUGUCUUGUUAAAGCAAGUCAUCUUGUUGUUGAAACAAGUUCAAACAAGUCGUCUUGUUGUUUAAACAAGUUCAAACAAGUCGUCUUGUUAAAACAAGUCAUCUUGUUGUUAAAACAAGUCGUCUUGUUAAAACAAGUCAUCUUGUUGUUAAAACAAGUCAUCUUGUUGUUAAGACAAGUCGUCUUGUUAAAACAAGUCAUCUUGUUGUUAAAACAAGUUCAAACAAGUCGUCUUGUUAAAACAAGUCAUCUUGUUGUUAAAACAAGUCAUCUUGUUGUUAAAACAAGUCAUCUUGUUGUUAAAACAAGUCUUCUUGUUAAAACAAGUCAUCUUGUUGUUAAAACAAGUUCAAACAAGUUGUCUUGUUAAAACAAGUUAAAACAAGUCGUCUUGUUAAAACAAGUCAUCGUGUUGUUUAAACAAGUUAAAACAAGUCAUCUUGUUAAAACAAGUCAUCUUGUUGUUAAAACAAGUUAAAACAAGUCGUCUUGUUAAAACAAGUUAAAACAAGUCGUCCUGUUAAAACAAGUCAUCUUGUUGUUUAAACAAGUUCAAACAAGUCGUCUUGUUGUUUAAACAAGUUAAAACAAGUCGUCUUGUUAAAACAAGUCAUCUUGUUGUUAAAACAAGUCGUCUUGUUAAAACAAGUCAUCUUGUUGUUAAAACAAGUUCAAACAAGUCAUCUUGUUGUUAAAACAAGUUAAAACAAGUCGUCUUGUUAAAACAAGUCAUCUUGUUGUUAAAACAAGUUCAAACAAGUCGUCUUGUUAAAACAAGUCAUCUUGUUGUUUAAACAAGUUAAAACAAGUCAUCUUGUUGUUAAAACAAGUCGUCUUGUUAAAACAAGUAAUCUUGUUGUUAAAACAAGUUAAAACAAGUCAUCUUGUUAAAACAAGUCAUCUUGUUGUUUAAACAAGUUAAAACAAGUCAUCUUGUUGUUAAAACAAGUUAAAACAAGUCGUCUUGUUAAAGCAAGUCAUCUUGUUGUUGAAACAAGUUCAAACAAGUCGUGUUGUUGUUUAAACAAGUUCAAACAAGUCGACUUGUUAAAACAAGUCAUCUUGUUGUUAAAACAAGUCGUCUUGUUAAAACAAGUCAUCUUGUUGUUAAAACAAGUCGUCUUGUUAAAACAAGUCAUCUUGUUGUUAAAACAAGUCAUCUUGUUGUUAAAACAAGUCGUCUUGUUAAAACAAGUCAUCUUCUUGUUAAAACAAGUCAUCUUCUUGUUAAAACAAGUUCAAACAAGUUGUCUUGUUAAAACAAGUUAAAACAAGUCGUCUUGUUAAAACAAGUCAUCUUGUUGUUUAAAGAAGUUAAAACAAGUCAUCUUGUUGUUAAAACAAGUCGUCUUGUUAAAACAAGUCAUCUUGUUGUUAAAACAAGUCAUCUUGUUAAAACAAGUCUUCUUGUUAAAACAAGUCGUCUUGUUAAAACAAGUCAUCUUGUUGUUAAAACAAGUUAAAACAAGUCGUCUUGUUAAAACAAGUCAUCUUGUUGUUAAAACAAGUUAAAACAAGUCGUCUUGUUAAAACAAGUCUUGUUGUUAACAUAAGACGACUUUAGAAAAGUGAAAUCUGUGUUUUUCUCAACGAAACAGAAAAGUCACAUUUUUCAAAGCUGGAGGAAAAUCUUUUUUAAGAGCGACUAAAUGAGAAAAACUCCAACUUCUGCUUCAUAAAUGUUCUUAUUCGUGUAAAAUAUACAAAAUGUGACGUUUCUACAUUGAUGCCAUUGAUAUUUGUUCGACUUCGUACCCGAUGAGGAUGAGAAGGGAAAUAACAUCUUGCAGACUUCAGCAUUAAGACUUGAUCCAUUUAAAAGUCUGUUAACAACAAUCUAAGCUAAUAAAUGUGUUGCAGCUUUC